rfam:Xenopus laevis strain J chromosome 8S, whole genome shotgun sequence.
AGUGCUCUGCACCUGACCCCAGAUCUCCAUCGGAAUACAGAAAAGAUUUUAUAAAAAAAAGAAAACAAGAAGUUUGAAUUCCUGAAUGAUUUUUUUCUGCAGAUAGGAGCUUAGAAUAAUGAUUUCAGCUUUCUUGGGGGCAGAUUAGUCGCAGUGUCGCUGCUGUCUCUCAAUACGCGCUGUACAUGUCUCUUCAAUGUGC